rnacentral:rRNA from 1 species
GGGUUGUGAGGUUAAGCGACUAAGCGUACACGGUGGAUGCCCUGGCAGUCAGAGGCGAUGAAGGACGUGCUAAUCUGCGAUAAGCGCCGGUAAGGUGAUAUGAACCGUUAUAACCGGCGAUUUCCGAAUGGGGAAACCCAGUGUGAUUCGUCACACUAUCAUUAACUGAAUCCAUAGGUUAAUGAGGCGAACCGGGGGAACUGAAACAUCUAAGUACCCCGAGGAAAAGAAAUCAACCGAGAUUCCCCCAGUAGCGGCGAGCGAACGGGGAGGAGCCCAGAGCCUGAAUCAGCAUGUGUGUUAGUGGAAGCGUCUGGAAAGGCGCGCGAUACAGGGUGACAGCCCCGUACACAAAAGCGCAUGUGCUGUGAGCUCGAUGAGUAGGGCGGGACACGUGGUAUCCUGUCUGAAUAUGGGGGGACCAUCCUCCAAGGCUAAAUACUCCUGACUGACCGAUAGUGAACCAGUACCGUGAGGGAAAGGCGAAAAGAACCCCGGCGAGGGGAGUGAAAAAGAACCUGAAACCGUGUACGUACAAGCAGUGGGAGCACCCUUCGGGGUGUGACUGCGUACCUUUUGUAUAAUGGGUCAGCGACUUAUAUUCUGUAGCAAGGUUAACCGUAUAGGGGAGCCGGAGGGAAACCGAGUCUUAACCGGGCGUUAAGUUGCAGGGUAUAGACCCGAAACCCGGUGAUCUAGCCAUGGGCAGGUUGAAGGUUGGGUAACACUAACUGGAGGACCGAACCGACUAAUGUUGAAAAAUUAGCGGAUGACCUGUGGCUGGGGGUGAAAGGCCAAUCAAACCGGGAGAUAGCUGGUUCUCCCCGAAAGCUAUUUAGGUAGCGCCUCGUGAAUUCAUCUCCGGGGGUAGAGCACUGUUUCGGCUAGGGGCCAUCCCGGCUUACCAACCCGAUGCAAACUGCGAAUACCGGAGAAUGUUAUCACGGGAGACACACGGCGGGUGCUAACGUCCGUCGUGAAGAGGGAAACAACCCAGACCGCCAGCUAAGGUCCCAAAGUCAUGGUUAAGUGGGAAACGAUGUGGGAAGGCCCAGACAGCCAGGAUGUUGGCUUAGAAGCAGCCAUCAUUUAAAGAAAGCGUAAUAGCUCACUGGUCGAGUCGGCCUGCGCGGAAGAUGUAACGGGGCUAAACCAUGCACCGAAGCUGCGGCAGCGAACGUAUCACCCAAGACAACUUUACGGAGUUGACGAUUGACGGAGCGAAGCGACGUCAAAGCGUUCAUUAAAGUCGAGUUGGCUUAGGGAUACGUUCGUUGGGUAGGGGAGCGUUCUGUAAGCCUGUGAAGGUGUGUCGUGAGGCAUGCUGGAGGUAUCAGAAGUGCGAAUGCUGACAUAAGUAACGAUAAAGCGGGUGAAAAGCCCGCUCGCCGGAAGACCAAGGGUUCCUGUCCAACGUUAAUCGGGGCAGGGUGAGUCGACCCCUAAGGCGAGGCCGAAAGGCGUAGUCGAUGGGAAACGGGUUAAUAUUCCGUACUUGGUGUUACUGCGAAGGGGGGACGGAGAAGGCUAUGUUGGCCGGGCGACGGUUGUCCCGGUUUAAGCGUGUAGGUGUGUGUUCCAGGUAAAUCCGGUUCACUUUAACACUGAGGCGUGACGACGAGGCACUACGGUGCUGAAGCAACAAAUGCCCUGCUUCCAGGAAAAGCCUCUAAGCAUCAGGUAACACGAAAUCGUACCCCAAACCGACACAGGUGGUCAGGUAGAGAAUACCAAGGCGCUUGAGAGAACUCGGGUGAAGGAACUAGGCAAAAUGGUGCCGUAACUUCGGGAGAAGGCACGCUGACACGUAGGUGAAGUGAUUUACUCAUGGAGCUGAAGUCAGUCGAAGAUACCAGCUGGCUGCAACUGUUUAUUAAAAACACAGCACUGUGCAAACACGAAAGUGGACGUAUACGGUGUGACGCCUGCCCGGUGCCGGAAGGUUAAUUGAUGGGGUCAGCGUAAGCGAAGCUCCUGAUCGAAGCCCCGGUAAACGGCGGCCGUAACUAUAACGGUCCUAAGGUAGCGAAAUUCCUUGUCGGGUAAGUUCCGACCUGCACGAAUGGCGUAAUGAUGGCCAGGCUGUCUCCACCCGAGACUCAGUGAAAUUGAACUCGCUGUGAAGAUGCAGUGUACCCGCGGCAAGACGGAAAGACCCCGUGAACCUUUACUAUAGCUUGACACUGAACAUUGAGCCUUGAUGUGUAGGAUAGGUGGGAGGCUUUGAAGUGUGGACGCCAGUCUGCAUGGAGCCGACCUUGAAAUACCACCCCUUUAAUGUUUGAUGUUCUAACGUGGACCCGUAAUCCGGGUUGCGGACAGUGUCUGGUGGGUAGUUUGACUGGGGCGGUCUCCCCUCCUAGAGUAACGGAGGAGCACGAAGGUUGGCUAAUCCUGGUCGGACAUCAGGAGGUUAGUGCAAUGGCAUAAGCCAGCUUGACUGCGAGCGUGACGGCGCGAGCAGGUGCGAAAGCAGGUCAUAGUGAUCCGGUGGUUCUGAAUGGAAGGGCCAUCGCUCAACGGAUAAAAGGUACUCCGGGAUAACAGGCUGAUACCGCCCAAGAGUUCAUAUCGACGGCGGUGUUUGGCACCUCGAUGUCGGCUCAUCACAUCCCCGGGGCUGAAGUAGGUCCCAAGGGUAUGGCUGUUCGCCAUUUAUAGUGGUACGCGAGCUUGUUUUAAAAGGUCGUGAGACAGGUCGGUCCAUAUCUGCCGUGGUGGCUGGAGAACUGAGGGGCUGCUCCUAGUACGAGAGGACCGGAGUGGACGCAUCACUGGUGUUCGGGUUGUCAUGCCAAUGGCACUGCCCGGUAGCUAAAUGCGGAAGAGAUAAGUGCUGAAAGCAUCUAAGCACGAAACUUGCCCCGAGAUGAGUUCUCCCUGAGACUUAGAGUCUCCUGAAGGAACGUUGAAGACGACGACGUUGAUAGGCCGGGUGUGUAAGCGCAGCGAUGCGUUGAGCUAACCGGUACUAAUGAACCGUGAGGCUUAACCUUACAACGCCGAAG